GUGGUGGCGUAGUCCCAGAUAUUCAGGACGCUGAGGCUGGAGGAUCUCUUGAGUCCAGGAGUUCUGGGCUGUAGUGCGCUAUGCCAAUCGGGUGUCCGCACUAAGUUCAGCAUCAAUAUGGUGACCUCCCGGGAGCAGGGGACCACCAGGUUGCCUAAGGAGAGGUGAACCGGCCCAGGUCGGAAAUGGAGCCAGUUAAAACUCCUGUGCUGAUCAGUAGUGAGAUCGCACCUGUGAACAGCCACUGCACUCCAGCCUGGGCAGCUUAGCGAGACCCUGCCUCU
rnacentral:SRP_RNA from 1 species